GACGAACGCUGGCGGCGUGCUUAACACAUGCAAGUCGAACGGAAAGGCCCUGCUUUUGUGGGGUGCUCGAGUGGCGAACGGGUGAGUAACACGUGAGUAACCUGCCCUUGUUUUUGGGAUAACUUCAGGAAACUGGGGCUAAUACCGGAUAGGAGCUCCUGCUGCAUGGUGGGGGGUGGAAAGGUUCCGCGGUGGGGGAUGGAUUCGCGGCUGAUCAGCUUGUUGGUGGGGUAGUGGCUUACCAAGGCUUUGGCGGGUAGCCGGCCUGUGUGGGUGCCCGGCCACAUUGGUCCUGUGAUCCGGCCCCGGCUCCUGCCGGAGCCAGUUGUGGGGAUUGUUGCACAGUGAGAGGUAGUCUGAUGCAGCAACGCCGCGUGCGGGAUGCCGGCCUUCGGGUUGUAACCCGCAUUCGCCUGGGUCGAGGCGUGCGUGGCGGUAAUGGGUACAGAAGCACCGGCUAACUUCGUC
rnacentral:rRNA from 1 species